rnacentral:rRNA from 1 species
AACGAACGCUGGCGGCAUGCCUAACACAUGCAAGUCGAACGAGACCUUCGGGUCUAGUGGCUCACGGGUGCGUCACGCGGGGGAACCUGCCCUUAGGUUCGGAAUAACACCCCGAAAGGGGUGCUAAUACCGGAUAAUGUCUUCUGACCAAAGAUUUAUCGCCCUUGGAUGGGCCCGCGUUGGAUUAGCUAGUUGGUAGGGUAAAAGCCUACCAAGGCGACGAUCGAUAGCUGGUAUGAGAGAAUGAUCAGCCACACUGGGACUGAGACACGGCCCAGACUCCUACGGGAGGCAGCAGUGGGGAAUAUUGGACUAUGGGCGAAAGCCUGAUCCAGCACGGCCGCGUGAGUGAUGAUGGCCUUAGGGUUGUAAAGCUCUUUUACCCGGGAUGAUAAUGACAGUACCGGGAGAAUAAGCUCCGGCUAACUCCGUG